GACUACCGGCACAUGCCGUCAUGCCCGGCUAAAUUUUGUAUUUUUAGUAGAGACAGGGUUUCACCAUAUUGGCCAGGCUGGUCUCGAACUACCGACCUCGUGAUCUGCCCGCCUCAGUCUCCCAAGUGCUGAGAUUACAGGCAUGAGCUACUGUGCCUGGCCUCUAUUUUGCUUCUUAUAAAAUAUGGUUUGAGGCCACUUGCUUUCAUCCUGAGGAAGUUCCCUUAGUGAACCCCCUUUGCAAAAAUUAUAUCAGCGGCAAAAUUAGACAGUGAAAAAGACCUGAUCUAGCCCACCCGUCCUCUUGCCUUUGCUUUCAAGCUGCCUCAAUCAUUCCUGGGCUUCGUCUGAGCUAACUUAGUCUGAACUAACUUUGGAAGGUUGUUUGUUUGUGUUGUUUUGUUUUUGAGACCAUGCCCAGUUAAUUUUUGUAUUUUCAGUAGAGACGGG
rnacentral:lncRNA from 10 species